UGAAUUGAAAACAAACGAUUUUGAAAAAAACAUUUGGGGAAAACACUUUAAAAGUCGAGUAAAUCGCAGAUACAUCAUAGAUCUAAGAAAACAACAGAGAAAAAACCUCGAGUAGCUUAGAGUUUCAGAGAAACCCUAGAAAUGAGAAAGGCUUGGAAGAAAGCUGUAUCUUGAGUCGGAGAGGUAGAAUCGGACCCUCUAAUGCUUGAAUAUGCCGGAGCAUAGGCCGGAAAGGCCAUAGAACCAUAGAUUUAAGAAGUUCUGGAGGAGAACCAUCGAGUUCAAGCCUCAAAGCUUCGAACAAACAUGGUCUAAUGGUAGAAGGGGGUGAGUGUAGACCAUCCAUGGCUUGAGAACCCAUGGAUCCCAGUAAAGGUAUAGUAGAAAAAAGGUCGGAGACGGUUAGGGUUCUGAAGAACCUUCGAGAGGAUUUGAGAGACGAUGGG
rnacentral:lncRNA from 1 species